CUGGCUCAGAACGAACGCUGGCAGCGUGGAUUAGGCAUGCAAGUCGAACGGGAUCCGGGGGAUAGCAAUAUUCCUGGUGAGAGUGGCGGAUUGGGGAGGAACACGUGAGCAACCUGCCCUGGAGAUGUGGAAAACCGUUGGAAACGACGGCUAAUACAGAAUGUGGCGCCGGACGGCAUCGUCCGAACGCCGAAGGGGGCCGAAAGGCUCCCGCUCCGGGAUGGGCUCGCGCACCAUCAGCUUGUUGGCGGGGUAACGGCCCACCAAGGCUUACGGUUAGCUGGUCUGAGAGGAUGACCAGCCCCACUGGGACUGAGAUACUGCCCAGACUCCUACGGGAGGCUGCAGUCGAGGAUCAUUCGCAAUGGGCGAAAGCCUGACGAUGCGACGCUGCGUGGAGGAUGAAGGCCUUCGGGUUGUAAACUCCUGUCAUGGGGGAAGAGGCGAGGGGACCCAACACGUCCCUUAGUUGACUGUACCCCAAGAGGAAUGGGCGGCUAACUCUGUGCCAGCAGCCGC
rnacentral:rRNA from 1 species